GUCCACGCUGUAAACGAUGGGUACUAGAUGUCGCGGGUGUUGACCCCUGCGGUGUCGCAGCUAACGCACUAAGUACCCCGCCUGGGGAUUACGGUCGCAAGACUAAAACUCAAAGGAAUUGACGGGGGCCCCGCACAAGCGGUGGAGCAUGUGGUUUAAUUCGACGCAACGCGAAGAACCUUACCUGGGCUAGACAACGGUGGACCGCCUCAGAGAUGGGGCUUUCCCUUCGGGGACUGCCGGUUCAGGUGCUGCAUGGCUGUCGU
rnacentral:rRNA from 1 species